GAUGAACGCUGGCGGUGUGGAUAAGGCAUGCAAGUCAAACGGCUCGCAAGAGCAGUGGCGGACGAGGUAGUAACACGUGGGUACAUCCCUUUUAGUCAGGGAUAACUAGUCGAAAGAUUAGCUAAUACUUGAUAGUCUCUUCGGAGUAAAGAUUUAUCGCUAAAAGAAUGGCCUGCGAAGUAUCAGCUAGUUGGUAGUGUAAUGGACUACCAAGGCUAUGACGCUUAGGGGAGCUGAGAGGCUGACCCCCACCGAUGGUACUGAGACACGGACCAUACACCUACGGGUGGCUGCAGCCGAGAAUAUUCGACAAUGGACGAAAGUCUGAUCGAGCGACACCGCGUGAUGGAUGAAGACCCUCUGGGUCGUAAACAUCUUUUAUGAGGGAGAAGUUUAUUGAUAGUACCUCACGAAUAAGGGGUUGCUAAACUCGUG
rnacentral:rRNA from 1 species